GAACCAAUCUCCUCCCACAUGCACUUUGGAAAGCCUCUCCUCUGCGUUGUGUAUGUUCAACAGGUAGAAUCAUGUUCCCUACUGCACUACCUCCCUUCUCCGAGUCAGGCUGUGAGAGAAACAGCCCCUGUCAUUGCAGAUUUCAUCACAUUCAGACAUGCUCCGUGUGUGGAUCAAAAUCUGUCUCCCUCUGCCAGGUAAUGCUAUCCCUUCACACGUACACCUUCUCUGAAACAUCAAAAAUCCCCUGAUUCAUUUUGCCAUAAAACCACAACAACAAGUGGAAGCAUGUUUUUGAUUUGUCAUAACACUACGCUCACUACAAUGCCUGUCCACUAUACUGCACUUCCAGGGGUAAGUAGCUUCAUGAUCCACAACACCCUCCCAAGCCUGUGCUUGGAGACUUCCCCAAGACGGGCCUGGUUCAGCUGAAGAAAUGCAACCUGGACUCAGUUCUCCAGCAGUGGAUCUGGAGGGACCAGAGUCUCCUGGAGUGUGUGGGGACUCCAGGUGCCUGUCGGCCCACCACUCUCACCCCGUCCAGACUGUACCCUGUGGAGGGCUAGAGGAUGGGGGACACAGGGUGAUGGGGGGCUGCGGUGGGGGUGUGAGUUGAACAGGCUGAUCAGUCAGAACAAGUUCUCUGGAGCUCUCCACAGACGGGAAACGACUGACGCUGUCCACAGGAGCAAGCAGACCAAGUGGAGGUCUCUGGAUGAAGGGGAUAUAUGCCAGGGGAGGCUCAGAUCCAAAAGGGCAUCGAGCGAUCCCGAUGAGUUUGAGGUGAAACCUGCGGAAGAGCAGAAAGCYGGGCCUCCUGGUAUGACCGAUGAACAGAAAGAAUUCCUCAGAUGGUUCUAUCGCACUGAGGACCCAACUCCCUGGAAGUUUGCGAUGCUGUCUCUGUCCUUCGCUGCCCUUCUGCUGGGCUGUCUGCUUCUGGGAAUGGGCUCCAUGGCGAACAAAAACAGAAUAAGAUAGCCAAGUACAAGGCGGCGGCUCUGGCCAUGAAGCGGAGGCGGAAGAACUACAGGUCAUCGUCACGGAAGUUAGAGGUCAAAGAACUAACUCAGAGGUCAAACCCGUCAACAGCGCCUCUGUCCAGGUCAGUAUGAGCCAAUCUGAGAUCCCAGUGAGCCAGGCCAAGCCCCUCCAGGACAACGGGGAGGUAGAGGGUCUCAAACCAGGGGACAUUGUGGUGACCUGGAAUGACGGGAACGUGUCCAGCCUGUACCCCGAGCCUGAGGGGGAAGUGGAGGUGUUGGCGGAGGUAGAGAAAGAGGAGGUGGUUGGGUAGA